AUUGAACGCUGGCGGCAUGCCUUACACAUGCAAGUCGAACGGUAACGCGGGGCAACCUGGCGACGAGUGGCGAACGGGUGAGUAAUGCAUCGGAACGUGCCUGGUAGUGGGGGAUAACUGCUCGAAAGAGCAGCUAAUACCGCAUACGACCUGAGGGUGAGAGGGGGGGAUCGCAAGACCUCUCGCUAUCAGAGCGGCCGAUGUCGGAUUAGCUAGUUGGUGGGGUAAAGGCCCACCAAGGCGACGAUCCGUAGCUGGUCUGAGAGGACGACCAGCCACACUGGGACUGAGACACGGCCCAGACUCCUCCGGGAGGCAGCGGUGGGGAAUUUUGGACAAUGGACGCAAGUCGGAUCCAGCCAUGCCGCGUGCGGGAAGAAGGCCUUCGGGUUGUAAACCGCUGUUGUCAGGGAAGAAGUCUUCUGGGUUAAUACCUCGGGAGGAUGACGGUACCUGAAGAAUAAGCACCGGCUAACUACGUGCCAGCAGCCGCGGUAAUAC
rnacentral:rRNA from 1 species